UUUCCCUGUCCUUCUCUUCUGUCGGAAGCAACAGGAAGAAGCCUGGGGAGCCUGGGUUUUCCAGAGAGCUGUGACCAGGUGUCUGAAGAGUCUGCAUGAGAAGAAGCAGAGCCAGGAAGAAGGGAUCAAGCUGUUCAUUAGAAGAGCGGACAGGCUCACAAGGACCUUUCCCAGAACACACACAAAGCACCUCUCUGGAUCUGAACAAGGUCAGGUGGCCAAGACAACCAGGACCAGUGCUCAAGUUGUACCACACCAAGAUCAAAGGAAGCUAUUAACCUAGUACAUGAAAAUUUCAGAAACAAAUGGAUUCCAUUCUUCCUCCAACUCUGUUUCCUUCUGCCUUGACCUUUCCAGCCCAGCCUACUCCCUAGGUCUUUCAGGGGCAUACAUGAGACUCUGAAAU